rnacentral:lncRNA from 1 species
GCCGGCGGCGUGUGGGAAGCGCCCGGAGGACCUGCUGCGCCUCCUGGAGCUGAGCCCCCUGAAGCCAGGAGGUCAGGAGGGACGCGGGGUGGCUCGCGGUGUGGGCGGGCUGCGGAGAGCGCUGGGCCCGCGCCUCGGGACCUCCCGCUCGUGUCCCCCGCCCCGCCGAAGCGGUGAGUUGUGAAGCGGGUUGCUGCACAUCGCUGGGAGGCAACCAGGAGCUGGUGCUGCUCUGGGAUGACAUCCACCAUGAGCUGGACAGGAAGAGGCUGGGUGUGGCCAUGCUGACCGCCAUGAAGAAGGUUCACUGCAGGAGGAGGUACGCUCUUGGCAUGGGUUUGUGCUAACCUCACAGGCCUCCCUCAGGAAGAAAUGUGUG